rnacentral:rRNA from 1 species
UACGUAGGGUGCGAGCGUUGUCCGGAAUUAUUGGGCGUAAAGGGCUCGUAGGCGGUUUGUCGCGUCGGGAGUGAAAACUCGGGGCUUAACCCUGAGCCUGCUUCCGAUACGGGCAGACUAGAGGUAUGCAGGGGAGAACGGAAUUCCUGGUGUAGCGGUGAAAUGCGCAGAUAUCAGGAGGAACACCGGUGGCGAAGGCGGUUCUCUGGGCAUUACCUGACGCUGAGGAGCGAAAGUGUGGGGAGCGAACAGG